GAUGAACGCUGGCGGCGUGCCUAAUACAUGCAAGUCGAGCGAACAGACGAGGAGCUUGCUCCUCUGACGUUAGCGGCGGACGGGUGAGUAACACGUGGAUAACCUACCUAUAAGACUGGGAUAACUUCGGGAAACCGGAGCUAAUACCGGAUAAUAUAUUGAACCGCAUGGUUCAAUAGUGAAAGACGGUUUUGCUGUCACUUAUAGAUGGAUCCGCGCCGCAUUAGCCAGUUGGUAAGGUAACGGCUUACCAAGGCGACGAUGCGUAGCCGACCUGAGAGGGUGAUCGGCCACACUGGAACUGAGACACGGUCCAGACUCCUACGGGAGGCAGCAGUAGGGAAUCUUCCGCAAAGGGCGAAAGCCUGACGGAGCAACGCCGCGUGAGUGAUGAAGGUCUUCGGAUCGUAAAACUCUGUUAUUAGGGAAGAACAAAUGUGUAAGUAACUAUGCACGUCUUGACGGUACCUAAUCAGAAAGCCACGGCUAACUACGUG
rnacentral:rRNA from 1 species